GGGGCUGGUCGAAAGACCCAGGUUCAUCUGCUGGCAGGUAAGACACCC
rnacentral:sRNA from 12 species